UGCAAGUCGAACGAUGAAUACCGGAGCUUGCUCUGGUUGGAUUAGUGGCGAACGGGUGAGUAACACGUGAGCAAUCUGCCCCCGACUCUGGGAUAAGCGUUGGAAACGACGUCUAAUACCGGAUACGACGCCCCCUGGCAUCAGGUGGGUGUGGAAAGAAUUUCGGUUGGGGAUGAGCUCGCGGCCUAUCAGCUUGUUGGUGAGGUAACGGCUCACCAAGGCGACGACGGGUAGCCGGCCUGAGAGGGUGACCGGCCACACUGGGACUGAGACACGGCCCAGACUCCUACGGGAGGCAGCAGUGGGGAAUAUUGCACAAUGGGCGCAAGCCUGAUGCAGCAACGCCGCGUGGGGGACGAAGGCCUUCGGGUUGUAAACCCCUUUUAGCAGGGAAGAAGCGCAAGUGACGGUACCUGCAGAAAAAGCACCGGCUAACUACGUGCCAGCAGCCGCGGUAAUACGUAGGGUGCAAGCGUUGUCCGGAAUUAUUGGGCGUAAAGAGCUCGUAGGCGGUGUGUCACGUCUGCUGUGAAAAUCCAAGGCUCAACCUUGGACCUGCAGUGGGUACGGGCACACUAGAGUGCGGUAGGGGAGAUUGGAAUUCCUGGUGUAGCGGUGGAAUGCGCAGAUAUCAGGAGGAACACCGAUGGCGAAGGCAGAUCUCUGGGCCGUAACUGACGCUGAGGAGCGAAAGCGUGGGGAGCGAACAGGAUUAGAUACCCUGGUAGUCCACGCCGUAAACGGUGGGAACUAGAUGUGGGGUCCGUUCCACGGAUUCCGUGUCGCAGCUAACGCAUUAAGUUCCCCGCCUGGGGAGUACGGCCGCAAGGCUAAAACUCAAGGAAUUGACGGGGGCCCGCACAGCGGCGGAGCAUGCGGAAUUAAUUCGAUGCACGCGAAGACCUUACCAGCUUGACAUAUAGAGAAAAGUGCAGAGAUGCACUCCCGCAGGUCUCUAUACAGUGGUGCAUGAUGUCGUCAGCUCGUGUCCUGAGAUGUGGGAUAGUCCGCAACGAGGCAAUCCUCGUCUAAUGUUGCAGCACGG
rnacentral:rRNA from 1 species